rnacentral:rRNA from 1 species
GACGGACGCUGGCGGCGUGCUUAACACAUGCAAGUCGAGCGAGAAACCUUCGGGUUUCUAGCGGCGGACGGGUGAGUAACACGUGGGUAACCUGCCUCAAAGAGGGGGAUAGCCUUCCGAAAGGAAGAUUAAUACCGCAUAAUAUUACAGUUUCGCAUGAAGCAGUAAUUAAAGGAGUAAUCCGCUUUGAGAUGGACCCGCGGCGCAUUAGCUAGUGGGAGAGGUAACGGCUCACCAAGGCAACGAUGCGUAGCCGACCUGAGAGGGUGAUCGGCCACAUUGGAACUGAGACACGGUCCAGACUCCUACGGGAGGCAGCAGUGGGGAAUAUUGCACAAUGGGCGAAAGCCUGAUGCAGCAACGCCGCGUGAGUGAUGAAGGUCUUCGGAUUGUAAAGCUCUGUCUUUUGGGACGAUAAUGACGGUACCAAAGGAGGAAGCCACGGCUAACUACGUGCCAGCAGCCGCAGUAA